UACGAGGGGGCAAGCGUUGUUCGGAAUUAUUGGGCGUAAAGGGCGCGUAGGCGGCCUGAUAAGUCAAAGGUGAAAUCCCUCGGCUCAACUGAGGAAUUGCCUUUGAAACUGUCAGGCUUGAGGCCGGGAGGGGGUGGCGGAAUUCCCAGUGUAGCGGUGAAAUGCGUAGAUAUUGGGAGGAACACCAGUGGCGAAGGCGGCCACCUGGACCGGUUCUGACGCUCAUGCACGAAAGCGUGGGGAGCAAACAGG
rnacentral:rRNA from 1 species